rnacentral:rRNA from 1 species
UACAGAGGUCUCAAGCGUUGUUCGGAUUCAUUGGGCGUAAAGGGUGUGUAGGUGGCGCCGUAAGUCGGGUGUGAAAUUUCGGAGCUUAACUCCGAAACUGCAUUCGAUACUGCGGUGCUUGAGGACUGGAGAGGAGACUGGAAUUCAUGGUGUAUCAGUGAAAUGCGUAGAGAUCAUGAGGAAGACCAGUGGCGAAGGCGGGUCUCUGGACAGUUCCUGACACUGAGACACGAAGGCCAGGGGAGCAAACGGG